rnacentral:rRNA from 1 species
CCUACGGGGGGCUGCAGUGGGGAAUUUUGGACAAUGGGGGCAACCCUGAUCCAGCCAUGCCGCGUGCGGGAAGAAGGCCUUCGGGUUGUAAACCGCUUUCGGCCGGAACGAAAUCGCCGGGGAGAACAUCCCCGGUGGAUGACGGUACCGGAAGAAGCAGCACCGGCUAACUACGUGCCAGCAGCCGCGGUAAUACGUAGGGUGCUAGCGUUAAUCGGAAUUACUGGGCGUAAAGCGCUAGCACGGAGGUGAAAGCCCCGGGCUUAACCUGGGAAGUGCGUUGGUGACUGGCGAGCUGGAGUGCGGAAGAGGGAGGUGGAAUUCCACGUGUAGCAGUGAAAUGCGUAGAGAUGUGGAGGAACACCGAUGGCGAAGGCAGCCUCCUGGUCUAGCACUGACGCUCAUGCACGAAAGCGUGGGGAGCAAACAGGAUUAGAUACCCGUGUAGUC